CCUACGGGAGGCAGCAGUGAGGAAUAUUGGUCAAUGGACGCAAGUCUGAACCAGCCAUGCCGCGUGCAGGAUGACGGCUCUCUGAGUUGUAAACUGCUUUUGUACGAGGGUAAACGCAGAUACGUGUAUCCGUCUGAAAGUAUCGUACGAAUAAGGAUCGGCUAACUCCGUGCCAGCAGCCGCGGUAAUACGGAGGAUCCAAGCGUUAUCCGGAUUUAUUGGGUUUAAAGGGUGCGUAGGCGGUUUGAUAAGUUAGAGGUGAAAUCUCGGGGCUCAAACCCGAAACUGCCUAUAAUACUGUUAGACUAGAGAAUAGUUGCGGUAGGCGGAAUGUAUGGUGUAGCGGUGAAAUGCUGAGAGAUCACACAGAACACCGAUUGCGAAGGCAGCUCACGAAACCGUAACUGACGCUGAGGCACGAAAGCGUGGGUAGCAAACAGGAUUAGAUACCCCUGUAGUC
rnacentral:rRNA from 1 species